rnacentral:tRNA from 1 species
GCGUCGCUGCGGUGGUAGAGCACUCCCUUGGUAAGGGAGAGGUCGAAGCUUCAACUCCCUCGCGCUUCA